CAACAACGUGUGUUGUUAGAGUGGAAGGUGGAUAUGACACCAAUGACCAAGCUUGCAUAUUGCCAACUGUGAAGGCACCCAACUGCUCCUGUAAAGGCAAACACUUCACUGUGGUACCAGGCAAACCAGUGAUUUUAAUUACCAGCAAUGGGCGUUAUGACUUGCAUCUGCCACUAUAUGUCUGUCAAACUUGCCAGCAGCAGUGGACCCCCGACUUGAAAGUCCUCCUUAAGAGUGGAUACUGGCCAGCUUCGGUCAGUAUUUCCACACUUUACACCUUGGA